rnacentral:rRNA from 1 species
GUGAGGAAUAUUGGUCAAUGGGCGGAAGCCUGAACCAGCCAAGUCGCGUGAAGGAAGAAGGAUCUAUGGUUUGUAAACUUCUUUUGAAGGGGGAUAAGGUGCGUCACGAGUGGUGCAUUGCAGGUACCCUUGGAAUAAGCAUCGGCUAACUCCGUGCCAGCAGCCGCGGUAAUACGGAGGAUGCGAGCGUUAUCCGGAUUUAUUGGGUUUAAAGGGUGCGUAGGUGGCUUUUUAAGUCAGCGGUGAAAACUGGCGGCUCAACCGCAAGAGUGCCGUUGAAACUGGGAAGCUAGAGUAUGAACGAGGUAGGCGGAAUGUGUGGUGUAGCGGUGAAAUGCAUAGAUAUCACGCAGAACUCCGAUAGCGAAGGCAGCUUACCAGGCCAUAACAGACACUGAAGCACGAAAGCGUGGGGAUCGAACAGGAUUAGAUACCCCGGUAGUCC